rnacentral:rRNA from 1 species
UACGAAGGGGGCUAGCGUUGCUCGGAAUCACUGGGCGUAAAGCGCACGUAGGCGGAUUGCUAAGUCAGGGGUGAAAUCCCAGGGCUCAACCCUGGAACUGCCUUCGAUACUGGACGUCUUGAGUCCGAGAGAGGUGAGUGGAAUUCCGAGUGUAGAGGUGAAAUUCGUAGAUAUUCGGAAGAACACCAGUGGCGAAGGCGGCUCACUGGCUCGGAACUGACGCUGAGGUGCGAAAGCGUGGGGAGCAAACAGG